AAGGUACAAAAUUCAGCCAUGUUAAACAACUCUAUACCAAGCAAGAACUUAAUGGCCGUGAAAUUUUACCUUCGGUUGGGGCGACCGCGGAGGAAAAGCAAGCCUCCGAGUGGACUGGGCCAAGACCCCUAAAGCCAAAAGAAACAUCUUUAAGCCGCAGAACAUCUGACCAAAAAUGAUCCGACUAAAAAGCCGAUCAACGGACCAAGUUACCCUAGGGAUAACAGCGCAAUCCUCUCCCAGAGCCCAUAUCGACGAGGGGGU
rnacentral:rRNA from 1 species